GUGACAACCAUGCUUGUCAAAAUGGAGGUGCUUGUGUCCAAGUUACUGGUUCCUGUACAGCAUACACAUGUACCUGUCCAUCAUGCUACACUGGACAAUUCUGUGGAACUUUAUUAAAUGCUUGUAACACAAAUGCUUGUCAGAAUGGAGGUACUUGUGUGCAGGUUGCUGGUUCCUGUACAGCAUACACAUGUACUUGUCCAUCAUGCUACACUGGACAAUUCUGUGAAACUUUAUUAAAUGCUUGUAACACAAAUUCUUGUCAGAAUGGAGGUACUUGUGUCCAGGUUUCUGGUUCCUGUACAGCAUACACAUGUACUUGUCCAUCAUGCUACACUGGACAAUUCUGUC